CCAACACGAAUCCGAAUCCGCGGGUCAAAUUGGUAUCAACUUAUAAAUCACCGCUUCCACCCUUCGCCAACCUCUGCGCGCUCUCUCUCUCUCUCUCCACCACCUAAGCCGUAAUUCGUCCGUGCAUAAGCCAAAACGAAAAACUAAAAUAUGCGAGCCCUCGAAGCGACAAGGAGAUUCUCUCGCGCUCUCUUCACUUCCACUUCUGCUUAUUCGCGCUCCUCACCUUGCUUGUUACCGUCACCCGACUGUCACCGUAACAUCGCCGACGCCAAUGGCGACAAGUGUCUGCUACGCUUCCCUUGGUCCGUCAGUCAACAGCGUGGGGUCAAAGUCAACGCUUCUCAGGUGAGGCCUGGGAAUGUCAUUGAAAAAACAGGGAAGUUUUACCAGGUCAUAGAAGCAGAACAUAAAAUGCGAGGAAGAGGAGGAGCCAUGAUGCAGAUGGAGCUUCGUGAUGUAGAUACUGGAAACAAAGUAAGCUUACGGUUUGGUACAGAAGAGGCUGUUGAAAGGGUAUUUGUUCAGGCAAAGCCUUUCACAUGUUUAUAUACUGAAAGUAAUACUGCAUUCCUAAUUGAUUCUGAUACAUUUGAGCAACUGGAAGUACCUUUGGAGUUGUUUGGAAAGGCUUCAGCAUACCUAAAAGAGGGAAUGAAAGUUUCAUUAGAGUUAUUUGAUGGAAGACCUUUGUCUGCAUCAUUGCCAAAACGUGUUACAUGCGCCAUUAAAGAAAUUCAUGCUUCUACAAAGGGGCCUGCAGUCACACCUCGGUAUGUUCUAAUGAUGCUAUUAGGUCCAUGUAUGCAGCCAGUAAGACCCUAAUAUGAGCCUUCACAAAUACAGGCUUGUUUCCUAACUUAAAACAUACCACAAGGCUCCAGGUAUCAAAGGGCUGUGCUGGAUAAUGGUGUUACCGUUCUCGUACCAUCCUACCUUGAAAUUGGUGAAGAAAUUUUUAUAAAUCCCGAGGACGACUCUUACAUUGGCAGGGCAAAAUAGAACUUGUAAGUGGCUGUGUUAUGAAAGAGAUGUCGCAAAAGCCGUCUGCAUGAAAUACUUAUGAAUUAUUGCUAAUGGCUUGAAUCAAUAAGCCAAAUCAAUAAGCUUAAUUAUUGUAAGAUAUGCCAAGGUUACUUAAAAGAUAAGAAUCUUGAGGAAACGAGCACAAUUUUUGCAGGAAAGGACAUAGUUUUUCAUUGUUUAGUGUUAUCAAUAAAUGCUACUGCUUAGGCAGCAUGAGCCAAUCACUUGUCUUUGUGUUGUAUGUUACAAUUUAGAUAUGUCAAAUUGUUGAAGGUGCUUCUACAUUAUGUUA